CUAAUAGACCUAACCAUCAUUAAUUUUUAAUGAAAGAAAAAGGGACAAGAAACCCCCAUUUUCUUUGUGUUUCUAUUGAGAAAUUUAGAUUUUAGACGUGUCUCUAAAGUUCACGACUAAUAGCUCUUCAAGUUACAAUCAAUUAAUCAUCAUAAACUGGUAUCAUCAUUAACAAGCACAUUUUUCCUUCAUUCAAUCUUCACUCUUCAGUAGUAGAUUGCACGUAUGAUCAUCACCAAAAAUUGCAAAUUAGACAAUAAGGUAAGCAGAGAAAACACCAGAUUCAGACACAAAUUAACCAUAAGAGUUUCACCAAUUACAUAUACUAUAUAUAUACAUAGACUGUAGAGAAUAAGACAUACUAUGACAAUGUCAGAGGAGAAUUAGUUUUCCUACUGAAGAAUUCAGUAACAACCAUUGAUGUUAAUCAACAAGAAAUCAAGGUUUAGAGAAAGAGAAGGAAGAAGAAUUUGAUACAGUUUUAGAGAGAAGAUUGUUUCAUUCAAUGUGUAGAAUGUAAUUUGCUUGAUUCAUUUGUACAAUAUACAAGUGUAUAUAUACACAUAUACACAGCUGAAUCUAUGCUAGAAGUAAUGAAGAUAUUCAGAAGUCCUAGCUUGGAGCAUAAAUAUUGAUGUUGAGCUUUACUCAAACCUUUUCGUUUGCAUCUAUUUGGAUGGCAGAUUUGAUGUCGGUAUAAAUUGCAACUGGUAGAGUUAUUUUAAUUCCAAUUUCCUUCAAUAAGCCAAGGAUCCAGAUGGUUGUGGAAUAGAUGGUUGCGAUACAGCCUUAGCAUUUGGUCCAGUUGAAGUCUGAUUCAGAAGUUGCGCAAUUUGCUCAUAUUGUCCUUGAGAGAAUUUUGGUGCUUCGAGUUGGUGUUGAUUCAUACUAGUACUCAUAUCAACCUGAGGAUGUGCAUAUGCCCCGAGUAACCAGUAUUCUCGCUUACUGCAUCAUUGCUAGUCAUAUUGCCUUCAGAAUAGACACUGUAUGUUGCAUGUUCCUUCCCCUUCGAUUUGAAUCCUGGAGGGUAUCCAACAACUUUGUAGCAGAAUUCUUUAGUAUGUCCCUUUAACUUACACACUUUACACACCAAGUUAUAGUUCUUCUUGAACUCGGAUGGUCCUGCCUUAGAAUACAUUACUGUAGGAUCAAAAUUAGAAACAUUACUCCCAUUAGGUACAACACCUAACAACCCUGCAGAACUUGGAACUGAUUUUUGACUUUCAUCACUUAUAAUCAUGUAAUAAGCCUUGUUUACAAAAAGCAAUGGGGUCAUCAGCAGUAUUUGGCUUCUUGCCUGUUUGUAGUUUUCAUUGAGUCCCAUCAAGAACUGGUACAGUUUCUGUCUUUGCAAGUAUAAUACAAAGUCUUUGGACCUUUCACAAUUGCAACCAGGUGGAGGAACUAAUGAUUGAAAUUCAACCCAUAGAUUCUUGAGUCUAGUAUAGUAUUCAGUCACAGUAACAGUUCCUUGACACAAGGUGGCUAUUUCUCUAUGUAAAUUGUAAGUUCUUGAACCAUCUACUUUGUCAAAUAUUUCUUUUAUGAAGAAUUUAGUAACAAUCAUGUUAAUCAACAAGAAAUUAAGGUUUAGAGAAAGAGAAGGACGAAGAAGGUGAUACAGUUUUAGAUA